CAAAACACAUAGCAGAGCAGAGCCAAGAGUAGGUGCUCAAGGAAUACGAAAGAGUCGCAAGAGCCUCAUACAAGUAGCUUUAUUGCAGUGCUGGGGGUGGAGUGAGGGGGAUACUAAAAACACACGUACACCUUCCUGCCUUCAAAGACCUUACAGCAAAAGGUGGAGUGAUAAACAAAGAAACGGAUCAGAAAAAGAGACCACAAACCGUCACGAGGGAUUUUUUUGUUUUUAAUGAAGUUCUCGAGGCCAGAAGUUCGAAGACGAGAUACUGGCAAGAUCAUGUUCCCUCUGAAGGCUCUGGGGAGGAGUCCUUCCUUGCCUUGUGCUAGCUCCCGCUGGUGGUCAGCAACCCUUGGCAUUCGUUGGCCUGUAGAGUCAUCACUCCAAUUUCUGCCUCAGCCAUCACGUGACUGUCUUCUCUCUGUGUGUGCGUGUCUCCAAAUCUCCUUCUCCUAAAAGGACAAAGAUCGCUGCAUUUAGGGCGCACCUUAACUUGAUUACAUCGGCAGGGACUCUAUUCCCCCCCAAAAUUAAUAUUCAUGGAACUGAAGGUUAGGACGUAACACAUCUUUUGGAGGGACACAAUUCAACCCACUAUAGUGUACAACUUACGAUCAUCGACUAAGACAUUCCUAUUAAAAGGAGAUAACAACAAUGCCACAUUUAUUACAGCUAUUUAACACUACCCCAAAAGUUCAAACCAAUGCAAGGAAAUAUAAAACUAAAAUAAGACAUAAUUAUUGGAAAGGGUUGGGCCGGGAUCAGCAUUGUGUGCAGAAAUCCAGAGAAUAUGUGUUGCUAUACAACUAAGUCUGUAAGAGAGUUUGAAAUGGUGACCACACACAGAAUAAUUGAAUACAAAUCAACAGUUUUCCUUAAUAGUAACUAAGAUCAUUGGAAGCACCAUAGAAAAAUACGCAGGUGUGGGGAGCCUGCUACACAUUUAGCUUUGUCCUUGAAGAAGUGAGAUGACUCAGAAAGAUGAACCAGAAACAAAAAAACAAACAAAAAAAUUUUUUAAAAGUGAGAUGACUCAGUAAUUAAGAAGGAUUUUCUGGAUCCCAGGGACCGAGGUUUCUGCUCCAGGCACACCUGACCUGCUUUACCACGUUGCCUGUGGUCUGCUCACUUGCCAAGAUGACUUUGGAUCCUCUCUGGCCUCCUCACUGACAGCAGGAAACACAGCGGGGCCAUCUAUGACUCUCCUUUGUCCCAUCUCUUCUGUUCAGUUCCAAGGUGCUGGGUAGGUAGCAGCCCAGAAGCCCCCUGGAUGCUUUCACUUGUCACUAGCCCGCUGGAGUAGCUGGAUUCCUGGUUGUUCAUGAGAGAAGGUCAUUUUCUAGGCAGAAGCCAAGAGCAGUGUUAAAUGUAGCCGUUUUAAACACAUCGUGGCCUUCUGCCAACUUUUUCCUCCUGUUUGUGAUUUGGCUUCACCUCCAGCUGAACAAUCAUGGGCGAAAAUCACAGAAGGACAUGGCACUGGGUAGAGGAGACAGACAUCUGCGGAUUUUGAUGGGGAAAAAGAAUUGGGGAGGAAAAGGGGAGAAAAACACACAAAAAAACAAAACAAAUAAUGAUGGUAACAAAAAUUUCACUAGCAUAAGCCAAGGAGAUGUGAAUGACCAAAAAGAUAGCUCCCAGAAAACAUGAAAGAAAACACUCUCUAAGAAUUUUCACAAAGAAACCUUCAGAGCACCCUUUUAGGUUUACUUCAAGCUUAAUUUUUAAAAAUAAAUGCAGGGCAAUUUCUAUUUUGAGUUAAGCCCUUCUUUUCGCAUGUGCACUUCGGCUUGCUGAGCCUUUUAUGUGGAUUGCAGAUAUACUGGCUGACCAGACAGCAAACUGGGGUUAGUCUUAUGCUGAGUGGGAGAAGGGAAAUGGAAAUGUUUUUAGAAAACAAAACCCUAAGCCUAAUGUAGCAAAGAUUAAGAUCCACAGAAACACUCUUCUGAAUAUUUAUGGGUAAUCCAUGAAUAAUCCUCAGAAAUAGAUAUUGCUGAUGCAAAUCAGAUGAAAAAAAAUUGGGGUGGAUUUUUCCAGCACAUAUGGCAAUAAAGAAGAGUAAAAUACAGUGAUACUGUUACCAGGGCCAUGGAUGAAUAAUUUUGAAGACUGAGAGGAAACUAAGCGAGUGCCAUUGGUUAGAGAAAUAAUCCUCUGUUAGUGAGGACCACGUUUCUCUGAUGAUUAAAAGUAGGAGACAGUAAAAAAAAAAAAAAAAAAAAAAAGAGGGGGAAA